rnacentral:rRNA from 1 species
UGGGAAUAUUGCACAAUGGGCGCAAGCCUGAUGCAGCCAUGCCGCGUGUAUGAAGAAGGCCUUCGGGUUGUAAAGUACUUUCAGCGGGGAGGAAGGCGAUAAGGUUAAUAACCUUGUCGAUUGACGUUACCCGCAGAAGAAGCACCGGCUAACUCCGUGCCAGCAGCCGCGGUAAUACGGAGGGUGCAAGCGUUAAUCGGAAUUACUGGGCGUAAAGCGCACGCAGGCGGUCUGUCAAGUCGGAUGUGAAAUCCCCGGGCUCAACCUGGGAACUGCAUUCGAAACUGGCAGGCUAGAGUCUUGUAGAGGGGGGUAGAAUUCCAGGUGUAGCGGUGAAAUGCGUAGAGAUCUGGAGGAAUACCGGUGGCGAAGGCGGCCCCCUGGACAAAGACUGACGCUCAGGUGCGAAAGCGUGGGGAGCAAACA